UCUUGAGUUCCAAAUUUAGAGUUCACUAUUGAGAAAUGUGAUUAACCACCACAUGGAUCAUCAUCAUCAUGGUGGUUUCCAUCUUUUCCUUAUUAGCCACAAUCAUGCAUUGAAACCCAAAACUAACAUUAUUGUUUCUGUUUGAUUAUAGACUAUUCGCCUUUUCUUC
ensembl:ncRNA ZK836.15 ncRNA